rnacentral:rRNA from 1 species
AGUGAACGCUGGCGGUAGGCCUAACACAUGCAAGUCGAACGGCAGCACAGUAAGAGCUUGCUCUUACGGGUGGCGAGUGGCGGACGAGUGAGGAAUACAUCGGAAUCUACUUUUUCGUGGGGGAUAACGUAGGGAAACUUACGCUAAUACCGCAUACGACCUACGGGUGAAAGCAGGGGAUCUUCGGACCUUGCGCAAUUGAAUGAGCCGAUGUCGGAUUAGCUAGUUGGCGGGGUAAAGGCCCACCAAGGCGACGAUCCGUAGCUGGUCUGAGAGGAUGAUCAGCCACACUGGAACUGAGACACGGUCCAGACUCCUACGGGAGGCAGCAGUGGGGAAUAUUGGACAAUGGGCGCAAGCCUGAUCCAGCCAUACCGCGUGGGUGAAGAAGGCCUUCGGGUUGUAAAGCCCUUUUGUUGGGAAAGAAAAGCAGCAGGUUAAUACCCCGCUGUUCCGACGGUACCCAAAGAAUAAGCACCGGCUAACUUCGUG